rnacentral:lncRNA from 1 species
AGGGGACCUCAUACUCUUUAACAGCUCUCUCUCUCUCUAAAAAUCACCCUCACUCACCUACCUCUCUCUCACUUUCUUACUGUCUGAAAAAAAUAAAAAAGAUUAAAUAUGAACCACUGUUCAUCUUCCUAGAAACAACCCGUAACCACCACCGACGAACCUUUCGCUCCACCUCCGUCAAACGUCACUCUCCGUCACAACCACCGGAAGCGUUCGCCCAACCGAUCGAUCCGUUUCAUCCUCACCAAACUCCGGCACCGUCAACGCCAACACCGCCGUAGAUCCACUUCUCAAUCUUCGACGCAAUCUCCACUACACUGCGAGAGCUGUCAUCAAACGCCACUGAAAUUCCUCUUUCAUUGAAGACAAGAUCGGCAGAAAUAUCCACGACUCCACGUUCGGUAAUAUUUCAAACUGAGAUUAUUGUUAAUACGAACUUGUUUAAAGAAUUUUGAUUUCGAGUUAAGUUCAUUAUUACUGUCUUUUCUGAUUUCAAAUGGGUUGCGUGUCAAGUACUCUUUACGUUUCGAUUAUGUAUGUACGUUGAAGUUUGUUGUUGAGACAUGUGUUGGAGUUAGGUUGAAAUCAUGAAAUCCUAAACGAUCUCUUUUACUCCUCCAUUUGCAUCGCUUCCUUAUCCGUGGUUUGUCUGAUAAUUUUAAAUAGUUUUUUACAGUAAAGCAAAACAUAAAGAAGAAUGAUGAUUAGCUAGUGGUUGUUUUUUACAAUAUGAUUAAAUGUUCUGCUUUAAUUGAUUUUGUUUAUGGUUCGUUGAUUUUGUGGAUUUUUCUAUCAUUAAUUUCUAUAUUCAAUUGAAUUUAUUAUCUGGUUGUUAUGCUAUUGGGAUUUGUUUUUGGGUUGUGUUGCUUCAGCAAAAAGGACAUAAGAAUUGGCUAAAGUGUUCAUUUACUUUGUUUAAAAAAUAAUAAGUAAAUAAUAGAACAUUCAUGUGUACUGAACUUAAGUUUUAUUUAAGUUUUGUGGAAUGUGAGUGCAGUAGGAGGCUUGACAAAGUUAACUAAGUGUUAAAUGUUAUUCACCUAUUUCCGUUCUUGAGUAAGGUUCAAAAUUAAGCGUCAAGUCUCCCUUUUUUUUUAUUUUAAUUUAUGUAUUUAGCAUGUUGUCAUUAUAAUAAACAUUGUAUAUGAAAAAAUAAUAUACAUUAUUAUGAUUCCUUAAUAUUUCAUUGAGAUAUAGUUUAUUUCUUU